UCUUCAAUAGCUCAGGGGUAGAGCAGAUGGCUGUUAACCAUCGGGUCGUUGGUUCAAAUCCAACUUGGGGAG